UCGUUUCACAUGAACUGUUUGUUUUCAGGGAACACCCCAUAGGAAAGAACUAAAUUUAGGAUUUUUUUGUGGUUCCCGAAGCCCUUUAUGGUCUCACAUGACCUGGUGCAACCCUCCUGCUCUAACAGAAAGGCACCUGCCUGCUGUGCUGCAAGGAAAAAUCACAGUUUCACCUAACUAGGUGAUGCAGUGGUAAGGUCUCCGUAAGGAAAUCAGUUGCCCCCUGCCCUUUGUGCCUCAGAAGCCGCUCAGCUGCUCUGUGUUUGUUAUUCAGGGAUGUUCUGUUUGAAAAGAGGAGCUUAUCCUGGCUGCGGUUGCUGCUGCUGGGGGGACAUUGCUGUGGGCUGGAGGAGACUCAAGCCAGGUAGAAGAGGAGACACCAGGGCAUUGCGGGCUCUAGGAAGACAACGAGUCUUCCCAAAAAAUGCUAGAAUGCCCAGAUGCCAGCUGCAUGAAUUAAUUUCUCAUCCUUAAAAAAAAGAUGUGAGUUUGUGCAGCAGUUGGCCAAUUUCGUUAUCACCAUUAAGGAGAGUGAUUGACUUCUUAUUAACCUUCUAGCUCUAAGUACUUGGGAGACCUGAGGGCAAUUUCAAUCCAUCAUCCUGACUGCAGCCCUGGCAUAAAGAAGGCGCUGGGCUCCGGCACCAGGCGAGUGAGCCAGGGCAGCCCAGCCCGUGCCGUCUGCCACGACCAUGCUUGUGCCGCAAGGCUGGGGCAGGGUCCCCGGGCUGUGGGUGCUCAUCCCUGCACAGUAAACCCAGCGGUGCUCAGCAGAAGGCCACGGGAGAGGAGAACGAUGAACAUCUGGGAUGUUUUGCAAGAAAUAGCACCCGAUUUGACAGACAGCCCUACCUCUGAGGCUGUGCCAGAUUUUGGUGCAAUGGUGCAAUUAGCACCUUCCCAUCUGGGCUGCUCUCCCCCACAAGACGUGGCAAAGCUGGGAUGCAUCUGCUGCACCCCUCUACAUCACCUUUAAACGAAACGUGUUACCAAACUGCACUACCAAGCAGAGAAGGGCAUGGUGGAUAAUGCCUACCCGUUCUUGGAUUCAUUCCACACUGCGAGCGUGGAAAGGGGCCGGAGGAAGGGUCAGAGCUUGGGCUUGCCCCCUCGUCCCCUUCCCCUGCCACUGGCACUAAGCCUGGCUUUGCAAGGGGGCAAAACCUUGCUCCGGUAGCCCAGGCUGCUCAGUCUAAGCCAGGACAAUUACUAACUUAGUCUUUGUUUUUCAUGCAGGUGCAGGCAAAUAGUUACCCAGACUCCCCAUCUGCCAGAGAAAAGUUUUUGACGCAAAUUCCCUCUGCCUUCGGUGAGACCCUGAGCUGCUCUUCCGCUGGGAUGUCCUUUACAUCAAAAUUGCCAAAGUGAAUCUAAGCGUCGUUCAUCCAGAGAGUUGGGCCCUCAUUUUAACGGUUUUAGGUUAGUCUUUAAAGCUUGUUCAGCCUAAGAAAAUAGCUCAGAAUUUCUAGGUGCAAAAAGCUCUGGAAGCUCUGGCAGAAACAACUUACCUAGGUGGGGGAUCAGCCCUUGAGCACCCCUCGGUAGCAGGAGAACAAGAGGGCUUGAAAAAGAAAAGUUACAAAGCUACUGCUGUUUUUCCUUGUUUAAUGUAAGAGGUUUGGUUUGUUUUUUUUCUUCUGGCAAGACAGAUCCUACAGUGCAAAAACUAUUAUAAACUGAUGGGGUGCCAAGCUCCGGUGGGUAGGUCGGUGAUGUCUUGGUGCGCGGCACAUCUGGAGUCUCGCUGAACUCUCCUGUGCCUGGGGGGACUGUUGCACUGCGGCAGCAGCAUCUGUUAGUGGCGGUUCGUGGCUUGCUGGAUUAGCUGAAACCUCAAACACACACCUCCACAGCCAUUUAACAAGAUCUAUACUUAUCCCUUUACAAGGUCUCAUUUAACCUGGAUGUGGGCAGGAAGACAGCUGUUAAUGUGACAUCGUUCUCUCUGCUGGUAAUUUUUUGGCAAUGCUGGGAAAGAAACUAAUGAAAUAUAUAUAUAUAUAUAUUUUUUUUUUU